rnacentral:lncRNA from 1 species
UAAGGUGAAAAAACGAAUUAUCAUGACCCAUAGAGGAGCCUGAACGCUCUUAGGGAGACUAGUCUCCCUCCCGGGGUACGGGAAAGGUUCCGAGGAGGAGGAGACCAUCACUUCUACCCGUCGGGCGAGGUAGCUAUUUUACGAUAAGGCCGCGUUUACCUGAUGCCAUUCGUUUUCCCCUUCAUAUACCAUUAGGAUAAUUUCUUCAAUUCUACAACAUCUGUCCGGCCCAGCGCAUUCCAACGCGUAGAGAAGAUUGCUUGCGCUAUGGCGGUGUGGCGUAUACAAUACAAACACCUUCAAUAUUUCCGAGUUUAGGAACUUGUUUAGUUUAAAUAGUAAUCCUAAACCGCGACCAAGGCUGGCAUACUUCAAGGCGAGGAACAAGAAGGUUAUGCUCGGAGGAUACCCCAGCAAUGUCAAGGGGUGAAGAGACAAGUUCUUCUUCGUCUCUCGGUACGCCUGAAUGGGAGAUUCCCGUGUUAGGAACGUCUCCGGUUGGCGCUCCCCAAGAGUUCGAGGACGUGGGGAAUUCCAGGUCGGUCGCUCUUCUCUUGCUAUCCUGGUCUUCGUACCUUUGGAAUACUGGGAUGUGCUAACAUUAUGAUUCUUUAGAUAAGUACUACACUAAUCCACCUCGACUUUACGCGACGAACCGAAGUUUCGAAGAGAUUUUUCGGUUCGGUCGAGAAGGCGGGAAGCUUCUCAGUACCAGUGACUUGCUGGACUCACAGUCAUUUGGCCGAGUAUUUGGCCUCCCAUAGUUCUAGAUGGCGUCAGAGGACGGAGGGACGGGCAACUUCCGAGCGGAAGAAGCUCCGUAGCUCCUCAAAGCGAUCUGGUGAGUCCAGAACAUCCCCAUGAUCAGACGGCGAGAAAGCCCUCCGAGAUAAUUCAAUCAAAGUGAUCUAGGAUCCAUCAGAACCAAACUUUAGGAGGUUGCUACCUCAGAAAUCCCCGAUAGACCCUUUGAGGUGGUCAGGGGAAAGGUUUCUGGAUCCUAUACUAGAUCGUUUCUUCGAAUGCCUCGAGCUCGAAUCCUCGUCGGAAUCUUGUUCGGACUCGAGCCGACCCGUCGGAGCUUGAAUCGAUGGUUUGACCCUUUCUUUGUUUAGGCGAUGAUUACUUUCCUUAUCUGAUUCGUAUGUUCUUGUGCAGCAUGUCGAAGAGAUGAGCUUCAGGUUUUUUUAAGAAGAUGCGAGAAGCUCGAGAACACGGUGGGCCAGUGCGCGCUCGGGGACUCCCAGAUGUCAGCAAAGGCGAGUCUAAUUGGCGAGAGCGUUCCGGAGAGAGCAUCACCAGCUAGCCCGAGCAAAAAGGGGAAGGCUGAUGUGGCUCUAGAGGAAGAAAAGGAGUCGACUCGGCCCUAAGGCCAAGAAGAAGGCGACGUGUCGAGCAAAGCCCGAUCAUUCCAGCCGCCGCUUCUCUUUGCCCGGGGAAGGUACUCGGCAAAAUCUCGGACGCUUUGUCCUGGGCCCCACGGAUUCUAUGUUGGGCAGCCCAGCGAUGGCCCCGAAAAGUGCGUGCGGGGUGGAUCCCCCAGCCGGACAAGGAGAAGGUGGGAAGACUCACCUUGACAGACGGGCGGAAGCUCUUCCAUGUGAUCGGUCAGGUAAUCUUCGGGGGGAUUUUCACUGUUCUGUCGAUUUAAUUAAAUGAUUGCUAAAAAAGUUUCCUUGCUUAUAGCAGGUAGUUUGGUGCUGAGGCAAUCUUGCCGUCCGAAGCAGGGAGGCUGGGGAGCAGGCGUCUAGUCAAGAGGGCGAGCGCUUCCUAGAACUGAAAUUUGCUCGACAUACAGACGGUGCUGCCGACAUGGAGCAAAAGAUGGGGAUGCGAUAAGUCCCGUGCUACGUGAGAGGAAGGCCAAUGAUGAGUCGCCAAGCGAAGAGCGUGAUCGAAUUCGCUAUCGACAAGUUCGAGAGGUUGGAGUGUUGAAGUGAAUAGCUGAGGGAAGUUGAAUAAAUCCAAGGAAUCUGCCGUGGAGGAGUUCAAUCCUCGGCGAGUCAUGGGGAGCCGUUGAAGAUUCUACCUCCAAAUACUUUGGCGAGGGGUUUAACUUCUGGCAAGGACAAACUUCGCCGACAUCACCCCGACCUCGCCAGCGAUUGAAAGGAAUGUGGUCGAUAAAGAUCUGCUGCGGAGCAAGACGAGGCCGAUGAGGAAAAUGACAAGGAGAGCGACGCCGCGAGACGAUGGGGUAGAGGAGUAAAUCACAAAAUAAUGCCCCGAGGUGUAAAAAAUUUUUUUGUUAGAAUGUAAUUUUAUCCAUAUGAAUGAAAUAUCUUUGUUCCCCGUUUUUGUGGUAUUCGUGUUAAUUGGCGAUCAUGAGUAAUGGUGAAAUCUCCAUAACUGAAAUAAUAUUGGCUACUUUUAUACUGGGCCGAUCUCAUUUUUGUUCUAACUGGCGAUUUCUUUUGUUUUGAACUGCAAUUCUCAUUUUGUUUUGACUGGCGAUCUCAUUUUUAUUUUAAAACUGGCAACUCAAUAUUGGCGAUCAUCU